ACUUAAAUAGCUUAUAAGAGCAUAAUAUUGAAGAUAUUAAGGAAAUUUUUUAAUUUUUAAGUA
rnacentral:tRNA from 1 species